rnacentral:RNase_P_RNA from 1 species
GAUGGCUGGAUGAUCGCAUGAUCGGCCUUGUUGCCGGUCCUGAGGAAAGUCCGGGCUCCACGGAAACACGGUGCCGGGUAACACCCGGCGGGGGCAACCCUAGGGAAAGUGCCACAGAAAACAAACCGCCUGCCUCGUGCGGGUCAGGGUGAAAAGGUGCGGUAAGAGCGCACCGCGACUUCAGCAAUGCGGUCGGCAUGGUAAACCCCACCGGGAGCAAAACCGAAUAGGGAUGGCCGGAUGGGGCGCCUCGGCGCUGCCAUCGGACGGGUUUUCGCGUCGCUAUCCGGGUUGGUUGCUCGACGCAGUCAGUAAUGGCUGUGCUAGAUGAAUGAUCAUCCAGAGGCAGCAAUGCCUUGGACAGAACCCGGCUUACAGGCCAUCUG